rnacentral:lncRNA from 1 species
UUUGAGUAAGUGAAAUGAAGCGUGAAUAACUGCCUAAUUAGUGGACAUGAAAACUGGACAGUCUCCAAAGUCAUCAGAGAUGACCACGCUUGCCAGGCAACUUACUAGACUAAGGGUGAGUCCAUUUGUAAUCAUCCCAGCUGGGAGGUGGCUGGGAGGUUUGACCUAGGGCUCAGAAGACUGGCUAACCUGGAUAAAGCCAUUCAAGACAAUCAGGCACACAAUGAGCCUCACGUAAGCAUCAGGUACUACAUUUAGGAAGAGAGAUGGUGGUGACGUGCCCAUCAUGCAGGAAGCUUCUCCAAGGCUGGCGAGAGCAACUUGUCUGCUUUGAGAAAUGCAGAUCUAUCAGGAUCCAGAAUCGGACUCUGAAAAAGCUGUCAUUUCAUGUCUCUAAAACAGCCUUUGAUUUAAUGUACAAGAUGUCAAGAAGUAAAGGACAAUAAAAUAAAAACCAAAAAAGGAGAACUAUUUCAAUUAAGAAGCAUUCCUAUAUCAAUUCUUGGAAAUCACAUAAAAUAAAAGCUGUCAGAAUCA